rnacentral:tRNA from 1 species
GGGGGCUUUUGUCUACUUUGCACGUAGUCACGGGCUGAUGCCAGCCUCCA